rnacentral:rRNA from 1 species
GACGAACGCUGGCGGCGUGCUUAACACAUGCCAGUCGAACGGAAAGGCCCUGCUUUUGUGGGGUGCUCGAGUGGCGAACGGGUGAGUAACACGUGAGUAACCUGCCCUUGACUUUGGGAUAACUUCAGGAAACUGGGGCUAAUACCUGAUAGGAGCUCCUGCUGCAUGGUGGGGGUUGGAAAGUUUCGGCGGUUGGGGAUGGACUCGCGGCUUAUCAGCUUGUUGGUGGGGUAGUGGCUUACCAAGGCUUUGACGGGUAGCCGGCCUGAGAGGGUGACCGGCCACAUUGGGACUGAGAUACGGCCCAGACUCCUACGGGAGGCAGCAGUGGGGAAUAUUGCACAAUGGGCGGAAGCCGGAUGCAGCAACGCCGCGUGCGGGAUGACGGCCUUCGGGUUGUAAACCGCUUUCGCCUGUGACGAAGCGUGAGUGACGGUAAUGGGUAAAGAAGCACCGGCUAACUACGUG